rnacentral:misc_RNA from 1 species
GAACGCACAUUGCGCCCGCCAGUAUUCUGGCGGGCAUGCCUGUUCGAGCGUCAUUUCAACCCUCAAGCCCCCGGGCUUGGUGUUGGGGCUCGGCCCGUCCCUAGCGGCGCGCCGUCCCCGAAAUCUAGUGGCGGUCACGCUGUACUCCUCUGCGUAGUAAUAUAACCUCGCAACGGGACAAACCGCGGCCACGCCGUUAAACCCCCAACUUCUGAAGGUUGACCUCGGAUCAGGUAGGAAUACCCGCUGAACUUAAG